AGAGUUUGAUCAUGGCUCAGGACGAACGCUGGCGGCGUGCUUAACACAUGCAAGUGGUGCGACGAACCAGGGCUUGCCCUGGGGCAAAGCCGCGAACGGGUGAGUAACACGUGAGUAACCUGCCCCGAUGACCGGGACAACCCGAGGAAACUCGGGCUAAUACCGGAUGUGGCGCACAGGCAUAAGCCUGUUCGCUAAAGGAAGCUUCGGCCUCCGCAUUGGGAGGGGCUCGCGGCCCAUUAGCUUGUUGGUGGGGUCAUGGCCUACCAAGGCAACGAUGGGUAGCUGGUCUGAGAGGACGAUCAGCCACACUGGGACUGAGACACGGCCCAGACUCCUACGGGAGGCAGCAGUGGGGAAUCUUGCGCAAUGCGCGAAAGCGUGACGCAGCAACGCCGCGUGGGGGAAGACGGCCUUCGGGUUGUAAACCCCUUUCAGGAGGGACGAAGGUUCGCCGGUGAAUAGCCGUGCGGAUUGACGGUACCUCCAGAAGAAGCUCCGGCUAACUACGUGCCAGCAGCCGCGGUAAUACGUAGGGAGCAAGCGUUGUCCGGAAUCAUUGGGCGUAAAGCGCGCGUAGGCGGCCCUGUAAGUCCGUUGUGAAAGUCAAAGGCUCAACCUUUGAAAGCCGAUGGAUACUGCAGGGCUAGAGUCCGGAAGAGGCGAGUGGAAUUCCUGGUGUAGCGGUGGAAUGCGCAGAUAUCAGGAGGAACACCAAUAGCGAAGGCAGCUCGCUGGGACGGUACUGACGCUAAGGCGCGAAAGCGUGGGGAGCGAACAGGAUUAGAUACCCUAGUAGUCC
rnacentral:rRNA from 1 species